rnacentral:rRNA from 1 species
CCUACGGGAGGCAGCAGUGGGGAAUAUUGCGCAAUGGGCGAAAGCCUGACGCAGCGACGCCGCGUGAGGGAUGAAGGUCUUCGGAUCGUAAACCUCUGUCAGCAGGGAAGAACGGUCACUGUGCUAAUUAGCAGCGAAUUGACGGUACCUGCAAAGGAAGCACCGGCUAACUCCGUGCCAGCAGCCGAGGUAAUACGGGGGGUGCGAGCGUUCAUCGGAAUUACUGGGCGUAAGGCGCUCGUAGGAGGUCCGGUAAGUCGGCGGUAAAAGCCCGGGGCUCAACCACGGCGAGCCGGUGAAACGGUCGGACUAGAGACGGCGAGAAGUACGCGGAAUGCGCGGUGUAGCGGUGAAAUGCAUAGAUAUCGCGCAGAACUCCGAUUGCGAAGGCAGCGUACCGGCGCCGAACUGACGCUGAGGCACGAAAGCGUGGGUAUCGAACAGGAUUAGAUACCCGAGUAGUC